GUCUUUAAAUUGCUCCUAAAAAUCUUGUAGUUAGUAUUAAUUUCACUCUUAACUUUUAGUAUUAUUUUUCUUGGAUUAAAUAGAUUAUUAAAGAAAAUAGUCUUCUUAUUAAGUCAAGUAAAAUAAUUCUAUAGAAUAAGAAAAGAGACAAAACAAAGGAGGUAGAACAAUAAAAUACUUUUAAGUUAAAAAAUCUUAAAAUUGGUGCUAUCAAAUUUAAUUCUAAGAAGAAGAAUUUAGAUGAGAAGCCUUGAAGUCUAAGUAUCCUUUAGGUUGCAAGUUGGCCACUUUCUUGCUCUAACAUUAGUUCAUAUAGAUAGAAUUAUUUUAUAAAAAAAUACUCAUAUUAUACUUAAAAAUAUAAAUUUGGUGAGUUAAUAGUAGAAUUUUAG
rnacentral:lncRNA from 1 species